CCUACGGGAGGCAGCAGUAGGGAAUAUUGCUCAAUGGGGGAAACCCUGAAGCAGCAACGCCGCGUGGAGGAUGAAGGUUUUCGGAUUGGAAACUCCUUUUGUUAGAGAAGAUAAUGACGGUAUCUAACGAAUAAGCACCGGCUAACUCCGUGCCAGCAGCCGCGGUAAUACGGAGGGUGCAAGCGUUACUCGGAAUCACUGGGCGUAAAGAGCGCGUAGGCGGGAUAGCAAGUCAGAUGUGAAAUCCUAUGGCUUAACCAUAGAACUGCAGUUGAAACUGUUAUUCUAGAGUAUGGGAGAGGUAGGUGGAAUGCUUGGUGUAGGGGUAAAAUCCGUAGAGAUCAAGAGGAAUACUCAUUGCGAAGGCGACCUGCUAGAACAUAACUGACGCUGAGGCGCGAAAGCGUGGGGAGCAAACAGGAUUAGAUACCCUAGUAGUC
rnacentral:rRNA from 1 species